UACGUAGGGUGCAAGCGUUAAUCGGAAUUACUGGGCGUAAAGCGUGCGCAGGCGGUUGUGCAAGACAGAUGUGAAAUCCCCGGGCUCAACCUGGGAAUUGCAUUUGUGACUGCACGGCUAGAGUGUGUCAGAGGGGGGUAGAAUUCCACGUGUAGCAGUGAAAUGCGUAGAGAUGUGGAGGAAUACCGAUGGCGAAGGCAGCCCCCUGGGAUAACACUGACGCUCAUGCACGAAAGCGUGGGGAGCAAACCGG
rnacentral:rRNA from 1 species